rnacentral:lncRNA from 1 species
GUUCCGCUCCGGCGCUUCUCACGCUCGCUGCCGUCUUCGUGGCGCCGGUCGACGCCUCUAUGACGACCGCUGCGAAGGCGUUCCGUUGAUAUUCGGCCGCCUCCAUGUACCGCGCGUGCUCGUCGUUGGCAUGCUCGUCGAUGAGAGCCUUGACUCUCGCCGCUCUUCUUCCCUUGUUGAACUCGGGAUUCAUGUUAUU